AAAAAGUUUAAUAUAUAAUCAGUCACCAAAAUAAUUAUUAGAAGUACCAUGUUAUUCAUCAUUACAAGUUGAAAAUUUUUCAUCAGGAUAAUCUGGUAUUUCCAUUUAGCAAAGCAUGUUCAUCAGUCUCAUUGAUUCCAAGAUUCUUAUAACCAUCAUGAUUCAUAAACUUACAAUCAAUACCAUUAUAUGGCUAACAACUUCACGAUCAAAAUUUGAAGAGAUACAACUGGUAAUCGUAGAACAAUUUAGAAGUCAGAACCUAAACUCAAUUUGCAAAGCUCUUUCUCUCUGUAUUUUAAAUCAUCGCAUACCUCUUCAACGUCUGCUUCCCCGCCACCGCUGCCCCAGCCACCAACCCUCCCAACGCACCACCCACCGCAGCCGACCUCACUCCUCUCGCCGCUCUGCACACCGCCCCCGUCCCAAGCCCCACAGCCACGCUGGUCCACACAUCGUCCCUAUCCGUAACUGCCACCACUCCACUCUCCAUCAUGGCAUAGAUCAAACCCACCAUCCCGAUCCGAUUUCCCCAGGCUCGUCCCGAAAGGCCCGACGAGUUCAGAAUCCUAUUCACUUUCAGUUUCAAAGUAUCAGUGGGUUCGAAGGAUUUGAAGGCAGAGAAAAACCCGAUGGAAGCGCCGACAAUAGAGCCGGAGAGAUAGGCAGAACCGGUGUAAAAGGUCAGGUUUUCGCCCCAGGAGCGGCGCUGGUGGAGAGAUUCUUCGGUGAAGAGGAACUCCGGAGAGAUUGGGAGUUGGUAGAGGGUCUGGAUUGGAAUGUUUAAGUCUUGGUAUGGGUUGUAAAGGCGGGCUUGUGAGGAUUGGGUGUGGUCGGGCUCGUGAUCAGAGCCAGAGCGAGCCAUUAGGGUUAGGGCUAGGGUCAGGGGAAGGUGGAAUUUGGUUGCAGUUGCAGCAAGCUUUGAGCUUUGGGUGCUGGUCUGUUUGGUAAAGGGAAAAGCUAGAGCUUUGGCAAUGGCUACCUGUUGUGCCUAACUAUGCCUACGUGUUUCAUUCUUUAUUCUUUUCAAAGCAAAAUUUUAAGAAAAAUUGGCAUAUUUUCAUUUUUUGUUAAAUUAAUCAAUUUUUUAAUCCAAAAUGUGAUAAUCUUAGUCCUAAUUUAGUUGAUUUUUUU
rnacentral:misc_RNA from 1 species